GUAAGGCCUCCGGGGCUCUGGCUGCUCAGAGCUUCGGAACCCCUCCCGGGAAGCGGCUGCAAAAAGCAGGCCUCGACGCUUGGCAAGGAAAAAAGCUGCUGGGGAUGCAGAAACUCAAGCAGAGGAGCAGGAUUCUGCAGACCUGGCCUCGAGGAUUCUGGAGACAAAUUCACUGGUAAUCUCAUAAGAGCAUGCUUAUGACAUACUGCUUUUCACUUGCUGCUUUCAAGAUUCUUUUCUCCUCUGUGACUUCUGAAACUGUGCAGCUAUGUUGUCCUAUUUUACCCAAGACCUUUUGCCAGAGCAGAAGAUACAAGAUGCAUUCCCAAAAUCAAUACUGAGAGGAUAUGGAAAUGGUGGCCUUGAUAAUUUCCACUGGAGGAAAGACUGGGGAAAUGUAGACGAAUGUAAGUUGCAGAAAGAAGAUUAUAAUGGACUUAACCAAUGUUCAUCAACUACUCAUAGCAAGAUAUUUCAAUGUAGUAAAUGUGUUAAAAUCUUUAAUAAUUCUUCAGAUGUACAUAGACAUAAGUCAUACUGGAGAGAAACCUUUCAAAUGCAAGGAAUGUGGCAAAUCCUUUCAAAUGUUCUCAUUCCUGACUGAAUAUCAGAAAAUUCACACAGAAAAAAAUUCCAAAGAUGUAAAGAAUAUAGCAAAACCUUUCACCAGUGCUCACACUUUACUGAGCAUGAGAACAUUUGUACUAGAGAGAAACCUUACAAAUGUAAAGAAUGUGACAAGGUUUCUGAAACUUGCUCAGCCCUUACUAAAGAUAGAUUUUACACUGCAGGGGAACAUUAGAAAUGUGAAGAAUUUGGCAUUAGUAUUUAAUUCCAAAUUAUGGCAUUAUUUAAUGCCAUAUAUGAAUGCCGAAUGAUUUCAUGCCAUUAUACAAGUGGCAUUAGUAUUUAAUACAAUUAGUAUUUGUCAAAAGUAUUUGAACAGUGCUCCCACCUUACCGAGGUAAGGACCAUGGCACUGAGAAAAAACUCCGCAAAUGUGAAGAGUGUGGCCGUGUCUUUGUCUCCUGUUCAAGGCUGUCUAAUCAUCAGAUGAUUAUCGCUGGAGAGAAGCUCUCCAAGUGUAAAAACUGGUAGAAGCCCAAGACUUUCCAAACCUCAGGGAAAUGAGAUUGGAAAGAAACGUUUCAAAUGUGGGGAAUGUGGCAGCAUCUUCAGGUGGUUCUCAGACAUUACUAAACAUAAGAGAAUUCACACUGGGGAGAAACCAGACAAAUGUGACAAAUGUGGGAAAGCCAAUACCCAGGCCUCACACCUCAGUGAAUGUUUGAGGAUUCACAUUGGAGGGAAACCCUACCAAUGUGAAGAAUGUGGGAAAGUCUUCAGAACUUGCUCAAGCCUUUCUAAUCAUCAGAGAACUCAUUCUGAAGAAAAACCCUACAUAUGUGAAGAAUAUAGCACCAUCUUUAAGCAGUCAUCAGACUGCACUAAACCUAUGAAAACCCAUACUGGAGAGAAUCCUUACAAAUGUGAUGAAUGUGGAAAAAACUUUACCCAGUCCUCAAAUCUUAUUGUACAUCAGAGAAUUCAUGCUGCAGAGAAAUCCUACAAGUGUGAAAAUUGUGACAAAGCCUUUAUCCAGUUCUCACACCUGACUGUACAUGAAAGCACUCAUAUUUGAGAAAAAAUAAACAAAUGCAAAACUAGGGAAAGCCUGUAGUAACUGCUCCCAUCUUGCUUUACAUCAGAGUUCGUCCUUCAUCAGGUUAUGAUGAGUAUUAUGAGUUGAAAGACCUUUCAUGAAAUAAGUUUCCAGAGCACUAAAGAGUAUUUCUUCUGAAAAAAUAUUAGAAAUAUGUUUUAUAUUAGAUGGAAGCCUUACAUCAGCUGCUUAAACUUUAUUCAAAUUCAGAGAAUUUGUAUCGGAGAGAAAUCCUUCAAAUGUCAUAAGCGUGGAAGAACAUUUGUUCAGAAACUAUAGCUUAGAAAACACCAGGGUUCAUACCAAAAGAUAUUUUCCAAAGGCAGUAAAUUGUAAAAAUAAGCAAAAUCAAGUCUAAAUAAACAUUAGGGAAAGAGAAAGGAACAGGGCACUGACAUGUUCAGACAUGACGCUGAAUAAGUGUUGAGUCUACAGAGUAAUCUGGACUGGAAAUAGAUUAUUCAUUCACAUUUAGGUUUAAAAGAAGGAUGAGAUUAAUUUUUUUGUAGCGUUAUAAGUGCAUUCAAGAUACACUUUUUUGCAUUGAAAAAAUGUUAAAUAGUUUGAAAAGCCAAUAUUGAUGUAAUUCAACUUUCAAAUCAAUUGAUGCUAUAUCUGUAUUUCUAGCGCUGGUGUGAAAACACAUUUUUAAUGGUUGCUGCAUCAGAGAUAUGAGAAGUUAUUUUAUAUUAAGUGUGCAUCGCUGAUACACUUUUCCAUGAAAGGUGAAAGAUGCUGAAAUGUAAGAUGCGUGAGUAAAUCUUGCUAGAAAGGCUCUUUGUCGCUGUCGUAUAUACCUGUAAGUGAUUCAUGAGUUAGUUUAAUAUUCUUCUGCAUUAUAAGAAGAGAGAAUCAUUUUGAAUUUUAUAAAUCAUUGGUUUUAGCAGUAUUUCAUUAUGAUAAUAUAGCGCAAGUUUUGAAAUGCUUUUUAAGAUUCUUUGUGAACUUAAUUUGUUUUUAAUUGAACACAAUUGUGUUAAAUGUGUUAGGUCUGGUGCUCAUGGAAUAAAGUGUUAUCCUACCAAGAAUCAAUCCCAUCUCAAUGGUGUCGAUAACAGACGGCAGCAAUCUACUGUCAGAUGGCAGAGUGGAGUGACAUCUUCAGUGACCUUCAUUCCCAGUGACUUUUUAACUGCAAGUAACUGGAAGAAUAUGGUUCUCAUAGUUUUUUAUAAUUUUCUUUGUAACUACAGAGUCAUUAUGGUUAUAAUAAAGAUUAUACAGAAGUAUAAAUAAAAUACAUAUAUUUCUGAGUAAUUAGAAAUUUUUUCCUGUCAUUUUUCUUGGAUGUACAACCCCUCUGCCCUGCAAAACACAUAGAGAGUUUACGUUGUGAUUUACAUGGAGGUAAAUAUACAAAUAUGUAACUGUAAAAAUAAACUAGCCUGGGCAUGGUGGCGCACAGCUGUAAUCCCAGCACUUGGGAGGGUUGCUUCAGCUGAAAAGUUUCGGACCAGCCUGGGCAACAUAGUGAGUGACACCUGUCUCUACUACAGAUUUUUUUAAUUAGCUGGGAGUGGUGGUGCACACUUUCAGUCCCAGCUACUCGGGAAGCUGAGGUGGAAGGACCGACCACAUGAGCCUGGGAGAUGAAGGCCACAGUGAGCUAUGUUCAUGCCACUGCACUCCAGCCAGGGCAGCAAACCGUGCCCUUGUCUAAGAAAACAAGAACCAAACGCAAUGGAGAUAAACUUCAGGGUUAAGAGAAUGACGGAGCACGUCAUUGUGUUUGUGUGAGUGCGGGUGUCCACCUGUUUUGAAAGUACACAUGACAAAGAAAAUAGCAAGACUGGAUUCAAACAGAUCACUUUAAUAGUCUUGAUAAUUUACUAGAAAACUACACAAACCUCAUAGAUUUUGAAGGAAAUCUCAAUCUCUCCUUUGUGCUGAAUUCAUUUCUGUAUAACAUUCUGGCUCCUGGUUCAGAAUCUCC